GCCUGGCUGGCUCAGUCGGUAGAGCAUGUGACUCUUGAUCUCAGAAUCAUGGGUUCAAGUCCCACACUGGGCA